UCCGAAGGGGGCUAGCGUUGCUCGGAUUGACUGGGCGUAAAGGGCGCGUAGGCGGUUCGUACAGUCAGACGUGAAAUUCCUGGGCUCAACCUGGGGGCUGCGUUUGAUACGUGCGGACUUGAGUGCGGAAGAGGGUCGUGGAAUUCCCAGUGUAGAGGUGAAAUUCGUAGAUAUUGGGAAGAACACCGGUGGCGAAGGCGGCGACCUGGUCCGAUACUGACGCUGAGGCGCGAAAGCGUGGGGAGCAAACAGG
rnacentral:rRNA from 1 species